GACGAACGCUGGCGGCGUGCCUAAUACAUGCAAGUCGAACGCAAUGGGGACGGGUGAGUAACACCUGGGUAACCUCCCAUCAGAGGGGAUAACACUUGGAAACAGGUGCUAACCCGAUACAGAUGGUUGGAACCGUGGUGCAUUAGCUAGUUGGUGGGGUAACGGCACACCAAGGCCACGAUGCAUAGCCGGACGGAGAGGGUGAUCGGCCACACUGGGACGGAGACACGGCCCAGACUCCUACGGGAGGCAGCAGUGGGGAAUUUUCGGCAAUGGAGGAAAGUCUGACCGAGCAACGCCGCGUGAGUGAAGAAGGUUUUCGGGUCGUAAAGCUCUGUUGUUAGAGAAGCGGUAUCUAACCAGAAAGCCACGGCUAACUACGUGCCAGCAGCCGCGGUAAUAC
rnacentral:rRNA from 1 species